UCGAGAGGCUUCGGCAAUGGGGGAAACCCUGACCGAGCGACGCCGCGUGGGUGAAGAAGGCCUUCGGGUCGUAAAGCCCUUUCGGACGGGACGAACGCUCCGCGGUGACAACCCGCGGAGCCUGACGGUACCGUAAGAAGAAGCACCGGCUAACUCCGUGCCAGCAGCCGCGGUAAUACGGAGGGGGCUAGCGUUACUCGGAAUUAUUGGGCGUAAAGGGCGCGUAGGCGGUCCUGUGCGUCGGAGGUGAAAUCCCCGGGCUCAACCCGGGAGCUGCCUCCGAUACGGCGGGACUGGAGUCCGGGAGAGGGGAGUGGAAUUCCCAGUGUAGCGGUGAAAUGCGUAGAUAUUGGGAGGGACACCGGUGGCGAAGGCGGCUCCCUGGACCGGUACUGACGCUGAGGCGCGAAAGCAUGGGGAGCAAACAGGAUUAGAUACCCUGGUAGUCCAUGCUGUAAACGAUGGGUGCUUGGUGUCGGGGGUAUCGACCCCUCCGGUGCCGAAGCUAACGCAUUAAGCACCCCGCCUGGGGAGUACGGUCGCAAGGCUG
rnacentral:rRNA from 1 species